rnacentral:rRNA from 1 species
GAUGAACGCUAGCUACAGGCUUAACACAUGCAAGUCGAGGGGCAGCAUGAACUUAGCUUGCUAAGUUUGAUGGCGACCGGCGCACGGGUGAGUAACACGUAUCCAACCUGCCGAUGACUCGGGGAUAGCCUUUCGAAAGAAAGAUUAAUACCCGAUGGCAUAGUUCUUCCGCAUGGUAGAACUAUUAAAGAAUUUCGGUCAUCGAUGGGGAUGCGUUCCAUUAGGUUGUUGGCGGGGUAACGGCCCACCAAGCCUUCGAUGGAUAGGGGUUCUGAGAGGAAGGUCCCCCACAUUGGAACUGAGACACGGUCCAAACUCCUACGGGAGGCAGCAGUGAGGAAUAUUGGUCAAUGGACGAGAGUCUGAACCAGCCAAGUAGCGUGAAGGAUGACUGCCCUAUGGGUUGUAAACUUCUUUUAUACGGGAAUAAAGUGUGGCACGUGUGCCUUUUUGUAUGUACCGUAUGAAUAAGGAUCGGCUAACUCCGUG